CUGUUUGUUUGUCCCAUUAUAAAGGGCACUAGCUUCUUAAAUGGACAAAUUGCGUCUAGCAAUAAUGAGAUUGAGCAAUAACAGGUCAGUGAUGCCCUUAGAUGUCCUGGGCUGCACGCGCGCCACAAUGAAAGUAUCAACGUGUAUUUCCUAGACCGAGAGGUCCGGGUAAACCGCUGAAUCACUUUCAUGUUUGGGAUUGUGAACUGAAACUGUUCACAUGAACCUGGAAUUCCCAGUAAGUGCGAGUCAUUAACUCGUAUUGAUUACGUCCCUGCCCUUUGUACACACCGCCCGUCGCUACUACCGAUUGAAUUAUUUAGUGAGGUCUCCGGACUUGAUCACUGUGACGCUUUAUGUGUUGUGGUUGUUUCGCAGAAGUUGACCAAACUUGAUUAUUUAGAGGAAGUAAAAGUCGUAAC
rnacentral:rRNA from 1 species